UUGCGUCUUCAAGUUAUGGUGGAGAUGAAGCGUACAGCUCAGUAACACGUAGUUAACCUGCCCUUGGGACGGAGAUAACCCCGGGAAACCGGGGAUAAUACUCGAUGAGUGAGAGUGCCUGGAAUGGCUUCUCGCCGAAAUGGUGACAGAACCAUACUUUUUGUUAUCGCCCAAGGAUGGAACUGCGGCCGAUCAGGUUGUUGGUGAGGUAACGGCUCACCAAGCCUAUAACCGGUACGGGCCGUGAGAGCGGUAGCCCGGAGAUGGGCACUGAGAUAAGGGCCCAGGCCCUACGGGGCGCAGCAGCUACGAAAACUCUGCUAUGCGCGAAAGCGCGACAGGGCUACCCCGAGUGCCGUCCGCUGAGGAUGGCUUUUAUUCGGCGUAAGUCGAAGGAAUAAGGGGAGGGCAAGCCUGGUGUCAGCCGCCGCGGUAAUACCAGCUCCUCAAGUGGUGGGGAUGAUUAUUGGGCCUAAAGCGCCCGUAGCCGGUUCGGUAAGUCUUCUGUUAAAUCCAACGACUCAAUCGUUGGACUGCGGGAGAUACUGCUGGACUAGGAGGCGGAAGAAGCCGACGGUACUCUUAGGGUAGGGGUGAAAUCCUAUAAUCCUAAGAGGACCACCAGUGGCGAAGGCGGUCGGCUAGAACGCGCUCGACGGUGAGGGACGAAAGCCUGGGGAGCGAUCCGGAUUAGAUACCCGGGUAGUCCAGGCCGUAAACGAUGCAGGCUAGGUGUUGGCAUGACUACGAGUUAUGCCAGUGCCGCAGGGAAGCCGUUAAGCCUGCCGCCUGGGA
rnacentral:rRNA from 1 species